AUGCCAGCAUUUCCUAUCUUCUGCAGUCAUACACUUCAGGACAUUCAUUCUAACCAGGUAUAAAACAGCUCCUCUUUCUCACCAGUGACUGCCUCUGGUCAGUUAAGACUACAGAAGCAUUUAUGUAAGCUCAGCUGUCUCAGUGCAGGCUCUUCUCUUGGAAUGCAAAGCCCUUCUGACUGACUUAAAAUUGAAGAGCAGGAAUGGUGACCUCAAAUACAGCCACCACUAUGGGAGAAUCCCUAGGGCGAUCUGGUUUCUGUCUCCUGCUGGGACUCCCGUUCUUCUCUCCAUUCUGGGCACGACUUCACAACAGCUGACAGAUCAGUUCGUCACAGCCAAAGGGAAACUCGUAUUCCCUCUCCACACCUCACCUGUGCAGGUUUUGGUGUCUGAACUGUUGAAGUUGCUAAAAUGGCUAUUUGAAUGUGGUAAUUCAGCAAAGAAGUAGAGAGCGAAACUACUACACUCAGUAAGGCUGCUCUGAGGGUCAGGAAAGUGGUGCCACUGGGAUCAUGAGGGAGGGCAGCAGUCAGCACCUCUUUGUGACGGUAAGCUGGGUUGACUUCUUUGCUUGAUGUCUUCUAUUGAUGGAGUUGGCCAAGUUAUUGUUCCCCCUGCCCCUUUCUGAAGGUUAUUUUUAAACAUGGUAUUUCAGUUUGGUUUAUGGGAUGGUUCCCCAGCAAGCUGUGUCAGCACAGCUGAGACGUGAGCUUCACGCAUGGGGAAGAACAGGGCAGAAAAGGAAUGAACUUCACAUCCCUUACUCCCCUGCUGUCUCUGGUAGCUGUUUGAAAGAUGCAUCUUACAGAGCUUGUUCAAUAUGUAGGAUAUUAGUUUGAACAGGAAAGCAGAAUACUUAACGUCCAUGUAGGAAUAUCUGUUUUCUUCCCUGGCAGAUUUUCUUUUCCCUUAGCAGUUUAUUUUAUGGGCAGUUAUGCUGUACAGGUGAUUUCUUUGGUUGCUUUUAUGCUGGAAAUUAAAGAGCAAAACAAUGUUGCUAUUCUUAAAAGCUGAUCAGCAUUCUCUCCUGUGGCAUCAUGGACGCAAUCUAUGUCAAAGGAAGUUCAAGCUGUUGCGCAGUACCUGCUUUUACACUGGAGCAGUGCAAUGUGUGAUCAAAAGGGUAGUCCUGGCCCUCCCUGGUCAGAUGUUCCUGAAUCUUUUAUCUCAGUGCUAACAGUUAUGAAGAUAUUAGGGGCACAUACGGUGCAUCAGCCAGAGGCUGGCCAUAUAGCCAGGCAGACUGUUCCUUUCAUUAGGGGCCUGUAUUUUAGAAGUGCUUAAACUUGGUUAUAAAAACUCACCCUGAAAUGGCUUGAGUUGCUGUCCAGGAGCAAGUCAUGUACAAUACCAAAAAAAAUCUUGUGUGGUGCUUCUAUCUAGUUUUCAUGUAUGUUAUGCGUUCAGCUGUUGGAACAGAGCCUUCUAUUCCAAUUUUUAAUACGUAGACACUCCAAACAAAAGAAACGAGGAACAAUGAGAAUGACUAUCCUUUCUGCCAGUGACAGUCUGAACUUAAUUCCAGGUGUAGACAUCAAUGAAGUUAACUACAGUAAAAUUGUUCACGGGUCGGAUUGUUCAUGCAGCACUCCAAAGCACAAAAACAAACAACUACAAAUUCUGCAUCCACCAUAACUUCAGGUGAUAGCCUGUGAAUACUGAGACUAUCGUGUCAAUGAGUGUGCCAAGGCUUUAGCUGCCCAGGACAUAAUGCAGCAUCUUUGUUUUAAGGAUUCAGACACUGUAGGCAGUAUUUGAGCUGUAUCUAUUUUGUUUAACUUCCUUCUCUUUAAGCACCAAAGAAGAAUUUGCAUCUUGUUUCUUCUUGAAGAGUGAAAACUACCAGCUCUUGAUCAUACUUAAAAAUUAAUUAAAACCCCUGUCUGUGACCACAACACCCAUACUUGGGGUUUGGUUCAGCUUCCUGUGGGCUUUAAUUACAAGCAGCAUUUCUCAAGCCCUUUGUGCUUAAAGCACAGCUACAUUGCUGAAGCUGGGAGACAUAAAAAGUCAGUUCAUUUGCAUACCUUGAUUUUAUACAGUACCUCCUUGUAGAUCUACCCCUCUGUCUCUGGCCACAAUCAGGGUUUUGAUAUUUCUGUAUAUUUGAUAAUAUUUUGUAAAGCCUAAUUGUAUUUUCCUUUCAGAAAUGGCUACUUGCAACUGUUCAAGUACUGUGUUUUACUCUUAGCUCCUAAUUCUUGCGUCUAAACUACAGGCAUGUGUUUCCUAUGCACCUGUACCUAAUGGCGACUGUAGAUUGUGUUGUUUUUCUUGCUGUUGCAAGUCAUAGAAUGAUUUGGGCUGCAAAAGACCUCGAAGAUCGUCAAGUCCAACCAUCAGCUUGACUUAAGGAGUCCUACCACUAAACCAUGUCCCUUAGCGCCAUGUCUACACAUCUCUUGAAUAUCUCCAGGGAUGGGGACUCCACCACCUUCCUGGGCAGCCCAGUCCAUUGCUCAACCACCCUCUUCAUGAAGAAAUUCUUUCCUGUCCAAUCUAAACGUCCUCUGGUGCAACAUGAGACCAUUUCCUUUUUGCAUCCUAUCACUUGUCACCUGAAGUUAGUUCAUUAGCAGUGGAUUCUUAGGAAUUAAAAGUUCUAAUAAGGGGAAAAAAAA